UAGAUCACGGGAGAGAAGGCGAGCUCGCGGCUGACCGCAGCGUGCGAGGCGGACGGGUGAGAAACAUUUGUGGUCGUGCCGUUGGCGACUGGAGAUUUGGAAUGCGGCCGUGGCCAUGGGCGGUCCUGGAGCUGGAUCACGUGUGUGCUGCCUCCAACCUGCUUUGCUGCUCCUGCGAUCUCAAGACGUGUGCAGAUCUGAGGACGAAGGGAAGAAUAAGAAGAAUUUAGCUAGAGAUCUGAAGAAGAUCAAGGUGAUUUUUCUCCCUCCUGUUAAGCUUUGUUAUCUCAUUUUGAUGCUAUUGUUUGUGAUUGAUGUAAACAUGAGGAAGAUAAGAGAUCACAACGAGGCUAAAUGAGAUUUGUGGUAACCAAAAUUCUUUCUUUGUUUACCUACAGAACUUUAUUGCACUAUUGAUUAUGUACUAUUUUCCUUUCCUAAAGGAAGAUGCCGAGUCAUGUAACAUCUUUAAAGAAGAGAGAAUCUGCAUUUUGUUCAUGUGCUUUCAGUUAGGGUGGAUUUGUGUUUUCAGAAAUGAGGCAACCUUACAUGUACAUAUUCACAUAUUUCCUUUAUAACACUACCAGCAGACAUGAGUUCUUGUGUUUUUAGAGCUUCAUGGAAACAGGAUUCGGUGCUGCCCACUUAGUCUUUUUUUGCAGAUAUAUUUCCUUUAUCACUCCCCCAGCAGACGUGAGUUCUUGUGGCGGGGUUUUUCAUGCCGUCAUGUUAGGAAUUUAUUAUCGGAUUGUAGAUGAGGUCCUUCUUCAGUUCAGCUACGCUGGGCACUGUUUCCACUUCUUGUUUCUUACUUAUUCAUGUGCUUUCAGUUAGGGCGGAUUUGUGUUUUCAGAAAUGAGGCAACCUUACAUGCACAUAUUCACAUAUUUCCUUUAUAACACUACCAACAGACAUGAGUUCUUGUGUUUUUAGAGCUUCAUGGAAACAGGAUUCGGUGCUUCCCACUUAGUCUUUUUUUGCAGAUAUAUUUCCUUUAUCACUCCCCCAGCAGACGUGAGUUCUUGUGGCGGGGUUUUUCAUGCCGCCAUGUUAGGAAUUUAUUAUCAGAUUGUAGAAGGCCAAAAAAGGCGGAGACGAGUCAUGGAUCCUGCUGGCAAUGGCUACUGGUUGUAGAUGGAAUUUAAGCAGAGGAAUCGCAAAAGUUGUGCCCCAUGAGGCUAGCGACCAAAGGCCCGAUUCGUUUCCGUUGAAGCUUAUGUUCAGCUUGGCCCUUCAUCUGGGUGUAUGGUUAUCCUCAUCUCUAUACGCGCAUGCAUGGACGAGCUUCAGUCUGAUGAGGAGAAAACAAUCAUGUUGAGUUUUAAUCAGAACAGGUGGACAACCAUGUAAAAGGUUGGAAGAACUGUUCUAUUUUUGCAUCUGCAACCAGCUGCUGCUGCUCAAGAUUUGCUCUCCUUUUCCAAUGCAUGUGCGUUAUCUGUGGCUCAAGAUAUAUUUAUCUUUUUGUGCAUGUUGUCAUGGUUGUUGAUUGACUGACUGUCUCUCUAUUGCGGAUCUAUCCGGGGGUCGUCUUAUUUUCCAGUCUUGUGUGACUUCCGUUUUAUGCUUAUAUUUGGUGGUUGCGUGUGAGCGGGAUGUGUGCUCUUAUUUCGACCGUUAUACCUGUUUUGCAAGCCGUGGUGCCUUGGUGUGCUUUGCCAGCGCUUUCGUACCUACUAUGGUCACAGAGGAUGUGUCUGUUCUUGGCUUCUUGCUGGGGUAGAACAGGAGCUUCCAAGGGAUGGUUCUUGUCCAGUUCCUUACUACACACUCUUGCUAUUUUGAAUAGGUAGUACAGCAUGAAGUGGCAGGCUGGAAGAAGUCCAAAGCCAGUUUCCGUCGGAUGAGAAUUCAUAGCAUCAUUGUGAGAUGGAGUCGAUUCAAGCAUCACAUGUUGGAAAUACUGCACCAUAGUGACAUAAGGGGCAUCGCAUUCAGGAAACCUAAUGAUUCUAUAUACACCUUCCCAAUGCCUGAUUGCAUAUGCCAACAAGAUGGAAUAUGAUCUAGGCGUUAGCAUACAUAACUGAGGGAUGCAUAUCCUCUGCCUUUGUGCAACAAAGGCACCAAAGGCAUGGCAUUGUUGACUGCAUGAUCAGGAUUUGAUGGUCAUGAUGAAAACUGGAGUGAAAUAAAGCAUUUGGCGCUUCUCAGGAGAUUCUUAAACCCUCUGGCAUACCCCAAACCGUUCGAUUCUGGAUAUAAUGGUCAAAAGGUGCCUAAUGACAAUGAUUUCCAUAGGAUCAGAAAUUGAGAGGAUGCGAGGGAUUUUGUAAAGUUAGUAAUCUGUAGGUAGUCCACCAUAUAGCAAUCUCCAUUUGUUCAAUGGGUUGUGGAUAUGAGUACAAUCUGAGUGCCUCGAUGUA